UAAAUAUUUAAGUAGAUACUUCAUCAGAAAAUAUAUAAAUGGAAAGCACAUAAAAAGAUCUCAACAUCAUUUGUCAUUACAAAUUAAAAUCAAUGAGAUACUUCUACAUAUUUAGAAGAGCUAAAAUUAGAAUGACUGAACAUAUCAAGUCUUUGCAAAGAUGUGAAAGAACUGAAAUCUUCAUUACUGGGAGAAAUAUAAAGUGGCAGAACAACUUUGGAAAAAUAUUCAGCUAUUUCUUACAAAGUUAAAUGUUCACUUCCUUUAUAAGUGAAACCUCUCACUCCUAGAUACUUACCUAAGAGAAGUGAAAGCAUAAAGAUUUACAUGUUUAUAUUACACCACAAAGGAAACCAUCAACUAAAUAAAAAGGCAACUUCCAGAAUGAGGGAAAUGUUUACAAAUAAUUUAUUGAUAAGACGUUAUAAUAUAAAGAACUCCUACAACUGAAUAGCAAAGAAAAGUAAUUUUAAAAUGGGCAGUGAAUCUGAAUGGAUGUUUUUCUCCAAAGAAGACGUUCAGAUGGACAACAGGUUUGAGCCUAGGCUCUCAUCAGUGAAAGUAUGGACUCCUAACCACUGGACCACGAGGGAAUUUCUGAAAAGAUAUCCCAUAUCACUAAUCAUCAGGGUAAUGCAAAUCAAAACCACAGUGAACUAUCAUCUCACAUCUGUUAGAAUAGCUGUUAACAAAAAGGUAAGAAAUAGCAAGUGUUGGCAAAGGCAGCUCUUGUGCACUGUUAGUGGGAACGUAACUUGGUGCAGCCACUACGGAAAACAGUAUGGAGGAUUCUCAAAACAUUAGUACAACUGUAUGACCCAACUACUACAUUUCUGGGUAUUUAUCUGAAGAACAUGGAAACACUAAUUUGAAAAGAUACGUGCACCCCUUUGUUUAUUGUACCGUUAUUUAUAAUAAUCAAGAUAUUAAAACAGCAUAUGUGUGUAUCAGUGGGUGAAUGGAUAAAGAUGUGACUUACAUAUACAAAGAAUGAAAUCCUGUUGCAACAACAUGGAUGGACAUUCCUUGAAGGUAUUAUGUUAAGUAAGUUGGAGAAAGACAAAACACUUAUGAUUUCACUAGUAUGUGGAAUCUUAAAAAGUAAAACAAAAAUGAACUCCUAGAUACAGAGAUUAAAUUAGUGGUUACCAGAGGGAAAGGGGGCCAACUUAUGGUGAUGAAUGGUAACUAAAUUUGUGAUGGUGCUCAUUUUGUAGUUUAUACAGAUGUUGAAGUAUAAUGCUAUACUCUUGAAGUGUAUAUACCUUUUUAAAAAUAGGCCUACACCAUAUGAUCCAGCAAUUCUGUUUCUGGAUGUUUAUCUGAAGGAAGUGAAAAUGCUAACUGGAAAAAAAUAUACUCAUCCCCAUGUUUGUUGCAUUAUUUAUUAUAGCCAAGACAUUGAAGCAACUUAAGUGUCUUUUAAUGAAUGACUGGAUGAAGAAAAUGUAAAUAUGUGUAUAUAUGUACAUGUGUGUGUGCAUAUAGACAAUGGAAUAUGAUUCAGCCAUUAGAAAGAAAUCUUGCCAUUUAUGAAAACUUGGGUGGACCCUGUCUGCUGAGUCAAAUGGAGAAAGACAGAUAUCAGAUGUGCUUACUUAUAUGUGAAAUCUAAGAAGAAGACAAAAAACUCAAACUCAUAGUAAUGGGUUCUUGGUUUGAGGAGUGGGAGAAAUGAUUGAAGAGAAUCAAAAGAUACAAACUUAGAGUUAUAAAAUAAACCAUGGGUUUGUAAUGUACAGCAUGGUGACUAUAGUGAAUGAUAUCGUAUAUUUGAAAGUUGCUAAGGGUAUGUCUUAAAAGUUUUCAUCACAAGAAAAAAAGAAUCUGCAGCUAUGCAUGAACUUAUAUGUACAAACUGAAUCAUAUUGUGUGCCUAAUAUUAGUAUAAUGUUGAAUAUCAAUUAUAUCUCAAUUU